GGCCAGUGAUGACAAAUGAAAACACUUUUCUGACACCUACUAUGACAGCUGAACUAUAGCUUGUGAUUCUACCGUUUAUCCUGAGGCUU